AGAGUUUGAUCCUGGCUCAGGAUGAACGCUGGCGGCGUGCCUAACACAUGCAAGUCGAGCGAGAAUUUACAGAUUGAGGCUUCGGCAGAUUUCUGUAAAGGAAAGCGGCGGACGGGUGAGUAACGCGUGAGUAACCUGCCCUUAGGUGGGGGAUAACACAUCGAAAGGUGUGCUAAUACCGCAUAACAUAUAUUUACCGCAUGGUAGAUAUAUCAAAGAUUUAUUGCCUAAGGAUGGACUCGCGUCUGAUUAGAUAGUUGGUGAGGUAACGGCUCACCAAGUCGACGAUCAGUAGCCGAACUGAGAGGUUGAUCGGCCACAUUGGGACUGAGACACGGCCCAGACUCCUACGGGAGGCAGCAGUGGGGAAUAUUGCGCAAUGGGGGAAACCCUGACGCAGCAACGCCGCGUGAAGGAUGAAGGUCUUCGGAUUGUAAACUUUUGUCUUAUGGGACGAAAAAGGACGGUACCAUAGGAGGAAGCCACGGCUAACUACGUGCCAGCAGCCGCGGUAAUACGUAGGUGGCAAGCGUUAUCCGGAUUUACUGGGUGUAAAGGGCGUGUAGGCGGGCAGGCAAGUCAGAUGUGAAAUACCGGGGCUCAACCCCGGGGCUGCAUUUGAAACUACCAGUCUUGAGUGUCGGAGAGGAAAGCGGAAUUCCUAGUGUAGCGGUGAAAUGCGUAGAUAUUAGGAGGAACACCAGUGGCGAAGGCGGCUUUCUGGACGAUAACUGACGCUGAGGCGCGAAAGCGUGGGUAGCAAACAGGAUUAGAUACCCUGGUAGUCCACGCCGUAAACGAUGAGUACUAGGUGUAGGAGGUAUCGACCCCUUCUGUGCCGCAGUUAACACAAUAAGUACUCCACCUGGGAAGUACGAUCGCAAGAUUGAAACUCAAAGGAAUUGACGGGGGCCCGCACAAGCAGUGGAGUAUGUGGUUUAAUUCGAAGCAACGCGAAGAACCUUACCAGGACUUGACAUCCCUCUGACCGCCCUAGAGAUAGGGCUUUCCUUCGGGACAGAGGUGACAGGUGGUGCAUGGUUGUCGUCAGCUCGUGUCGUGAGAUGUUGGGUUAAGUCCCGCAACGAGCGCAACCCUUGUUGUCAGUUGCCAUCAUUAAGUUGGGCACUCUGGCGAGACUGCCGGCGAUAAGUCGGAGGAAGGUGGGGACGACGUCAAAUCAUCAUGCCCCUUAUGUCCUGGGCUACACACGUACUACAAUGGCUGAAAACAAAGGGAAGCAAUACGGUGACGUAAAGCAAAUCUCGAAAAACAGUCCCAGUUCAGAUUGUAGGCUGAAACCCGCCUGCAUGAAGGUGGAAUUGCUAGUAAUCGCAGAUCAGCAUGCUGCGGUGAAUACGUUCCCGGGCCUUGUACACACCGCCCGUCACACCAUGAGAGUCGGUAACACCCGAAGCCUGUAAGCUAACCGCAAGGAGGCAGCAGUCGAAGGUGGGAUCGGUAAUUGGGGUGAAGUCGUAACAAGGUAGCCGUUCGAGAACGAGCGGCUGGAUCACCUCCUU
rnacentral:rRNA from 1 species